rnacentral:lncRNA from 1 species
AACGGACUUGAAAUUAUCUCCAUAAAUGUCUGGAAAGAUUUCUGGACUUAUAUAAUGGCAUAUUCCAACACAACAAUCACACCAUAAUUUUGCUCAUUCCACAAUUCGAGAUGUACUCCAUGUUCCGAUUUAAGGUUUGAAGAUUUUAGAAAUCUGAGGUGAGAAUCAUAUUAUGCGUGUAAAUAGUCGACACAGAUGUACGUGUUUAGCGAUUUAUGCUCGGUAAGAUGACUUUUCAGGUCCUUCAACUACGCCGACAAGUAUUUGCCAGUAAAUCGGGUCGCUUCGAUGCCGUCCGAAGACAAUAGUAUUUCGGUUGUCGCUGGCAGUGUUAUUCAUGGUUGAAGAUGAAAAGAAAGUGGAAGAGAAAGAGAACUCUCAACCAAAGUUGGUUUCAAUAUUUGUUCGUAUAUUUCUCCACGAAAAACAAUGGAUGGGAAGAUGUGA